rnacentral:lncRNA from 1 species
AAUUUCCUCCUCUGGGUGUGUCAGAGGUGAAAACCUUUUGUCUUCAUCAGAUCUGAGAGACGGACUGAGAGGAACACAGAGCAGCUUCUUCUCUCCUCAAGUUUCCUCACACAUGGAGAAGAGUCUGAAGAAGAUGUGAAGAGAGUUCAGGUGUGUGUUCUGCCAUGGAUCAGUGUGAGGACAGAGAGGAGGGAGUCCCUCCCUUUCAAAGGACUCUGUGUGGAGAACAUGAGAACCAGACCACAGCUCAGAGGUCAGAGGCUGAAGUUGAACCCAGCUGUGUGUCCCUGAAGAGUGACUGGUCCAAGGAAAACAUAAUUCAUUUUAAAAUACACUGUGUGUCCCUGAAGAGUGACCGGUCCAGGAGGCAAACCAUUUCAUUUCAACCUGGAGCAGGAAGUGCUGAUGAGGGGUGAGAAUCAGUGUUUGUGUCAGGAUUCAUCAUCAGAACAGCAGCUUGAACAAAGUCAACAUGUUUCUGCAGCGUCAGCCAGCAGAGCUCCCAGGUUCUCCGUGGAGGCUCCGCCCCUCAGCAUCAAACACAUCUGGACAUCAUCUUUAUG